UUCCAGCUCAGUUGGUAGAGCAUGAGAGACUUAAUCUCAGGGUCAUGGGUUCAAGUCCCAAGGGCAAAA